rnacentral:lncRNA from 1 species
UACUUUUGUACUGGUUUUUUGAAAGAGCUUACUGAUUAUGAUGUCACCUACUGAGGUUUGCCAUGUGGGUGGGAGAUCCAAAGGCCAGAGCAGGGUCAGGCAGGAUGGGUCUCCCUCUGGGUAAAGAGGUGGAAGGGCUACACAAAUUCUAUCUAGGGUUUUGCUGAUAAUAAAUGCAAGGAUGCCAAAACUUUGAGAGGAGCCAAUGAGGGCCUUUUCUAAGAUGACACAGUGACAGCCAUGUCAGGUGAUCAGUCGCCUGUGCUUUGCUCCUCCGUGCUCUCCAUUCCACUGGUUUCUAAUUUUGUGAACAUAGUGGUCCCAGCCACACUGAGCAUGGAAUCAAAUCUCUUCAAACAUAACUGUUACAGGGAACUAAUGUGUUUAACAUUGAAAGGACUUCCAGUUCACCAUCUACACGUGAAGAGCUUGGAAGCUGUCACUCCUAUCUUUACCAACGAAAGCCCUGCAAACUGA